GACGAACGCUGGCGGCGUGCUUAACACAUGCAAGUCGAACGGAAAGGCCCCUUUGUGGGUACUCGAGUGGCGAACGGGUGAGUAACACGUGAGUAACCUGCCCUUGACUUCGGGAUAACUUCAGGAAACUGGGGCUAAUACCGGAUAGGAAUCCUUGCUGCAUGGUGGGGGUUGGAAAGCUUCGGCGGUUUUGGAUGGACUCGCGGCUUAUCAGCUUGUUGGUGGGGUAGUGGCUUACCAAGGCUUUGACGGGUAGCCGGCCUGAGAGGGCGACCGGCCACAUUGGGACUGAGAUACGGCCCAGACUCCUACGGGAGGCAGCAGUGGGGAAUAUUGCACAAGGGGCGGAAGCCGGAUGCAGCAACGCCGCGGGCGGGAUGACGGCCUUCGGGUUGUAAACCGCUUUCAGCAGGGGCGAAGCUUGUGGUGACGGUACCUGCAGAAGAAGCACCGGCUAACUACGUG
rnacentral:rRNA from 1 species